rnacentral:rRNA from 1 species
UACGUAGGGUGCAAGCGUUAUCCGGAAUUAUUGGGCGUAAAGAGCUCGUAGGCGGUUUGUCGCGUCUGCUGUGAAAACUGGAGGCUCAACCUCCAGCCUGCAGUGGGUACGGGCAGACUAGAGUGCAGUAGGGGAGAUUGGAAUUCCUGGUGUAGCGGUGGAAUGCGCAGAUAUCAGGAGGAACACCGAUGGCGAAGGCAGAUCUCUGGGCCGUAACUGACGCUGAGGAGCGAAAGCAUGGGGAGCGAACAGG